UACGAAGGGUGCAAGCGUUACUCGGAAUUACUGGGCGUAAAGCGUGCGUAGGUGGUUUGUUAAGUCUGUUGUGAAAGCCCCGGGCUCAACCUGGGAAUGGCAAUGGAUACUGGCAGGCUAGAGUGCGGUAGAGGGUAGUGGAAUUCCCGGUGUGGCGGUGAAAUGCGUAGAGAUCGGGAGGAACACCAGUGGCGAAGGCGGCUACCUGGACCAGCACUGACACUGAGGCACGAAAGCGUGGGGAGCAAACAGG
rnacentral:rRNA from 1 species